rnacentral:rRNA from 1 species
UACAGAGGGUGCGAGCGUUGUUCGGAAUUAUUGGGCGUAAAGGGCGCGUAGGCGGUGCGGUAAGUCACCUGUGAAAUCUCCUGGCUCAACUGGGAGCUUGCAGGCGAAACUGCCGUGCUGGAGUGUGGGAGAGGUGCGUGGAAUUCCUGGUGUAGCGGUGAAAUGCGUAGAUAUCAGGAGGAACACCGGUGGCGAAGGCGGGUCUCUGGGCCGAUACUGACGCUGGAGGAGCGAAAGCGUGGGGAGCGAACAGG